AGCAAGACAAAAAUAAAUGAACUCACAUGGUUUAAAUACCAAAAGGAACUGGCUGGAAGUAAUUGAUAAAUAGGGAACAUGUAGGUGACAUUCAUGCUUCACGUUAUUAAUGUUGCUAUCAGCCAGGCAAAGGAAUGGAUUCAAGCUGUCCAGCUGCAUUGGAGGGAUUCCACAAACCUGGAGUGAGAUCCAAAUAUGCAGAAAAUUAAGUGUGAUAAGAUCCAAUUUUUUUUCUUUUUUUUCCUGUCAUCUGCUGUAACAAACAUCUGAGAUAAAUCAAUUCACAAUGAGAGAAGGUUUAAUUUGGUUCAUGACUUCAGAGGUUUCAAUCCAUCAUCUGUGGACCCUGUCUGUUUUCCAUAUAUCGUGGUGGGAGUAAGUGGCAGAGGAAGCCUCUUGUAUUGUCAGUCUAGGAAGCAAAAAAGGAAAGAGGCUUGAGUCAUAAAAUCUCCCUUCAAUAGAAUGUGCCUAGUCAUUUGAAUUUUUUCCAGUCACUACUCCCUCUUAGUGGUACCACCAUGUCCUGCACGCACCUCAUUCUGGUGACAAGACUGAGAUGAUUAAAACACUUGGGCCUUUGGGAGCACUUACCCAAACAUUGGCACUAUCCUCAGUGGCAUCCACAGACCACCAUGAGAAGAAGGCAUCACUGCCAGACCCCUCUUUUAAAAUAACGACAAUUCCUAAUGUGUUGUGUACAUUUUUAUUUAAUUUUGUAUGUUACACAGUGAGAAAAACAGUGGAAUAUUCAUGAGAUGCUGAUGUUGAGGAGGGAGCAAACCAAGUGAGUCUGAGCCAAAGCCUGAGCUAAGACAUAUAUCUUCUGUUUGUUAAUUUCAUUUGUGUGGUUCUUGCACAGUAAUACCAGUUUCUUUCCAUUUUUUGAGUGCACUUCUUGAGGAUGACGGUACAUUCAUUUCAUUGUUGUGAUCCAGGGUACGGACAGACCAGUAGUGCCAACCAAAGCUGGUGGGAACAGCUCUGGCACUGCCCCUCCAUCCUCCAGCCCUGCUUUCUGCCCCAGUGGGAUGCCAUUGUCUUAACAAAGUGGUUUCCUGGAAAGCAGGGCCUGUUUUUCAUGGCUUCCUGACAGCAGGAAAGCCUGAGGUAAGAAUUGGGGACCUCUACAGCAUCUUUGGGGGAAGACUUCUUCUUGCUCCCUCUCCACUUCUGGGGUUACAAACCCUCAGCUUCUUGGACACAAGGCACUGUGAUUGGCAGUAAAGAGAGAGGAAGAGGAUCCGGGAAUUCUGUCCUGCAUUUCCUCAGAAAGUGCAUCUGGGGCCAGUUCUGCCCAUUUUGUGGCUCUCUCGAGGAGAUUCUGUAAUCAGUAGUCAGCUCUCUGUGGGCUCAGCUUCUGCAUCCACAGAUUCAACCCAACCCCAAACGAAAAAUAUUUGAAAACAUAUUUGUGUCAGUACUGAACGCAUUUAGACAUUUUUUGUCGUUAUUCCAUAAUCAACAUACACUUUGAUAACAGUUUCAAAACAUUUACAUAAGUAACUUAAAGAUGAUUUAAAGUAUUUGGAAGGAAUAUUGUGAAUAUGACAUGCACAUUCUUAAUAAAUUAAAUAAAUUCAAUUUAUUUAAGGGAUUAGAGCAU
rnacentral:lncRNA from 1 species